rnacentral:rRNA from 1 species
CACGUAGGGUGCGAGCGUUGUCCGGAAUUAUUGGGCGUAAAGAGCUCGUAGGCGGUGUGUCGCGUCGACCGUGAAAACCUGCAGCUUAACUGUGGGCUUGCGGUCGAUACGGGCAUCACUGGAGUUCGGCAGGGGAGACUGGAAUUCCUGGUGUAGCGGUGAAAUGCGCAGAUAUCAGGAAGAACACCCGUGGCGAAGGCGGCUCUCUGGGACGGUACUGACGCUGAGACGCGAAAGCGUGGGAGCGAAGCAGG